UCUACGUAGCAGAGUUUGAUCAUGGCUCAGGACGAACGCUGGCGGCGUGCUUAACACAUGCAAGUCGAACGGUGAAGCCCUUCGGGGUGGAUCAGUGGCGAACGGGUGAGUAACACGUGGGCAAUCUGCCCUGCACUCUGGGACAAGCCCUGGAAACGGGGUCUAAUACCGGAUAUGACCUUCCUCCGCAUGGGGGUUGGUGUAAAGCACCGGCGGUGCAGGAUGAGCCCGCGGCCUAUCAGCUUGUUGGUGGGGUAAUGGCCUACCAAGGCGACGACGGGUAGCCGGCCUGAGAGGGCGACCGGCCACACUGGGACUGAGACACGGCCCAGACUCCUACGGGAGGCAGCAGUGGGGAAUAUUGCACAAUGGGCGAAAGCCUGAUGCAGCGACGCCGCGUGAGGGAUGACGGCCUUCGGGUUGUAAACCUCUUUCAGCAGGGAAGAAGCGCAAGUGACGGUACCUGCAGAAGAAGCACCGGCUAACUACGUGCCAGC
rnacentral:rRNA from 1 species